CAGAGGCAACGUAAACAAGCAUUAUAUUUCUCUAUAAACGAUGGUGUCUGUACUGCCUUACCACUUCGAGCUCGAUCCAGAGAGUUCAGAAGGCCGUUACGAUAUAAACGAUCUCCGUCAAUGAAUGCGAUUGGAUUUAACUUUUUUAGGUGUCCUUAGCUCUGCCAGAAUGCUAAACGAAGACGAAAAUGUGUUGCAAAAACAUCCAAAAGGUUUUAAGGAGAAUGCAACAGGUUCCAGGGCCUCUUACCUGCGUGAUUCAUCAUCCAGGUUUUGCACAAAUUGUCUAAAUCCCUACACACAGAACAUUUAUUGUACCGACUAUAAGCCUUUGAGGCGCAGGACUAGAAUAUGCUUGGAGCUUCCUGAUCGGAAUGUUGGCUUCCGACGACCCCUGCACUGAAGAUGGCAUGCAAUCACGUCCUCCUCUCAAACUGUGAUGCCAGGUCCAUUGGAAUCAGGGUUUCCUUCAGCUUAUCUUCAAAUACCUCAUCAAAC